rnacentral:rRNA from 1 species
GCCUAUGGCCAUACCACCCUGAAAGCGCCCGAUCUCGUCUGAUCUCGGAAGCUAAGCAGGGACGGGCUUGGUGAGUACCUGGAUGGGAGACCGCCUGAGAAUUCCAGGUGUUGUAGGCU